rnacentral:rRNA from 1 species
GUGCCAGCCGCCGCGGUAAAACGUAGGAGGCGAGCGUUAUCCGGAUUUACUGGGCAUAAAGGGUGUGCAGGCGGAUUGGUAAGUGGUGCAUGAAAGCCGCGCGCUCACCGUGCGGAGGCUGUGCCAGACUGCCAACCUUGAGGGUGCGAGAGGGACGUGGAAUUCCGGGUGUAGUGGUGAAAUGCGUAGAGAUCCGGAGGAACACCAGAGGCGAAGGCGGCGUCCUGGCGCAUACCUGACGCUCAGACACGACAGCAUGGGGAGCGAACGGGAUUAGAAACCCCUGUAGUCC